UAAGCUAUCAUCGUUAGUGAUGGCGUAAACCUGGUGCAUAUAAAAGUUAUGUUGGGCCGGCAUGGUGGCUCAGGCCUGUAAUCUCAGCACUUUGGGAGGCUGAGGCAGGUGGAUCGCUUGAGCUCAGGAGUUUGAGACCAACCUUGGUAACAUGAGUGAUUGGACUUCAGCUGAUAGUGUUAUUGAGGAUCACUUGUACAUUAUGAGUUGCUUCUCUCUUGCUGCUGUCAAGAUUCUCUGUCUUUCAACAGUUUGAUUAUAAUGUGUCUCAGUAAGCCAGAGAAUAUCAUCUAAAUAUUGACAUUUCAAGAAACCGGAUGUAAAGGAAACCAAAGUGAGAUAUGAAACAAUCCAGUGAGGAGAAUAAGAAACCUGCCUAAAAAUGAGUUUUGAAGGGUGUAGAUGAAGGGGUUGAGCAUCAGGGUCACCACGGUGUUAAGCAAUGCCGCCACCUUGUUCCUGUCUUCCUUCUGGUCACUCUUGCCUGACUGAAUGUACAUGAAGAUGCAGCUGCCAUAGAAGAGAGACACGACAAUGAUGUGGGAGGAGCAGGCGGAGAAGGCUUUCUGCUUCUCUUUGGCUGAGGGGAUGUGCAGAAUGGCGUGGAGGAUGUGGCCAUAGCAAGUGGCCGUCAUAGACAGAGUGCCCAGUAAGCUGACGUUGGCUAUAACAAAACCCAGGAGCUCUAUCAGAGUCAUGUCUGCACAAAUGAGUUUCAAGAGGGGAAAGUUGUCACAGAAGAAAUGGUUAAUGAUGUUGGGGCCACAGAAUGGCUGCUGAAGGACAAGAAAACUUGGAAUAAUGAUGAGAAGGAAUCCUGUCAUCCACUAACAGAGGACUAGCUGGACACAGACCCUUUUGCUCAUGAUGGUGGCAUAAUGCAAAGGGUUACAUACGGCCACGUACCUGUCAAAGGACAUCACCGCCAGGAGGAAGAACUCUGUGGUGCCCAAGAAAAAAUAGAGCAAACUUUGCAGGAAGCAGCCUGGGAGGGAAUGGUCUUGUAUCCUGUGAGGAUGUUGGCCAGCACCUUGGGAAAGAUGACCGAGGUGAACCAGAUCUCCGGGACAGCAAAGUUGCGGAGGAAGUAGUACAUGGUGGUGUGGAGGCGCCUGUCCAUGAGGGUGAUGACCACGAUGACCAGAUUCCCCAGCAGUGUGAGGAGGUAGGUCAGGAGGAGCCCCAGGAAGAUGAGCAUCUGCAGCUCACAGGUCUCUGAGAGCCCCAGCAGGACAAACUCGGUGACGGUGGUGUGGUUCCCCAUGGCUCCUCUGACCUUUGCUGGGGAGGGCUGAUCAAAGGUGUUCAGCAUCAAGAAUCGUGAUGUUGGGGACCUGAGAACAACCUGGAACUGAAAGGAGAGAGGGCUGAAGGUGUACUUUAUUUCUGUGAAGGAUGUAUCUUCCCACCACUGACUACUCAGGCUUAUCUGCAGAGCCUCUGGGGUUACCUGUUUCACGUGUGGUUUCUGGUGCAUCUGUGUGUUAGACAAGAGUGUGAUGAUGUGCAAGGUGGCCCAAGAAAGGCUCAGAACCAAAAUUUAUCCUUUCUUACUUUUCUUAACCAAAACUUUUACUCCUAAUUUCUCAAUGAAUCCCUUUGCCUAUACUAAUAUUACCUGCUUUCAAUAACUUUUGUUCUUGUGUUUAUACCAAUAUUGGGUCUUCAUCCAUAAAGAGUUCAUAUUCGAGGGUGUUGCUGUUUAAACAUUGCCAGAAUCUUUGAUACCUUUCAUUAGUUUUUGGAUUGAUAAAAAGACUAGAGGAAAUCUGUGAGAGAAAAGCACACCUCUCACAAAUCAAAUAAGGAAAAAUCCAAGUAGUAUCCACAUAAAUCAACACUCCUUAAUGGGAGUUUGAUAUUCAACAUUCUUAAUGACCUGUUGCCAAGGUUCUCCUUUCAUUAUCUCCUUCCACAAACUCUGAGCUUUG
ensembl:lncRNA OXA1L-DT OXA1L divergent transcript